rnacentral:rRNA from 1 species
AUUGAACGCUGGCGGCAGGCCUAACACAUGCAAGUCGAACGAGUGGCGGACGGGUGAGUAAUGUCUGGGAAACUGCCCGAUGGAGGGGGAUAACUACUGGAAACGGUAGCUAAUACCGCAUACCAUCGGAUGUGCCCAGAUGGGAUUAGCUAGUGGGUGGGGUAACGGCUCACCUAGGCGACGAUCCCUAGCUGGUCUGAGAGGAGGACCGCCGACAUUGGAACGUGGACACGGGCCCGACUCCUACGGGAGGCAGCAGUGGGGAAUAUUGCACAAUGGGCGCAAGCCUGAUGCAGCCAUGCCGCGUGUAUGAAGAAGGCCUUCGGGUUGUAAAGUACUUUCAGCGAGGAGGCGUUACUCGCAGAAGAAGCACCGGCUAACUCCGUGCCAGCAGCCGCGGUAAUUC